GAUGAAGAACGUAGCGAAAUGCGAUAAGUAAUGUGAAUUGCAGAAUUCAGUGAAUCAUCGAAUCUUUGAACGCACCUUGCGCCCUUUGGACAUUCCGAAGGGCAUGCCUGUUUGAGUAUCAUGAACACCUCAACUCUCACGGCUUGUCCGUGAUGAGCUUGGACUUUGGGGGUCUUGCCGGCCUGUGGUCGGCUCCUCUCAAAUGGAUCAGCUUGCCAGUGUUUGGUGGCAUCACAGGUGUGAUAACUAUCUGCGCUUGUGGUUUUCCAUCAGAUAACCUUCAGUGAUAUGGAGGUUCGCUGGAGCUCACAAUGUCUCUCCUUAGUGAGGACAGCUCUUUGAACGUUUGAUCUCAAAUCAGGUAGGACUACCCGCUGAACUUAAGCAUAUCAAUAAGCGGAGGA
rnacentral:misc_RNA from 1 species